GACGAACGCUGGCGGCGUGCUUAACACAUGCAAGUCGAACGGAAAGGCCCUGCUUUUGUGGGGUGCUCGAGUGGCGAACGGGUGAGUAACACGUGAGUAACCUGCCCUUGACUUUGGGAUAACUUCAGGAAACUGGGGCUAAUACCGGAUAGGAGCUCCUGCUGCAUGGUGGGGGUUGGAAAGUUUCGGCGGUUGGGGAUGGACUCGCGGCUUAUCAGCUUGUUGGUGGGGUAGUGGCUUACCAAGGCUUUGACGGGUAGCCGGCCUGAGAGGGUGACCGGCAACAUGGGGACUGGGAUACGGCCCAGACUCCUACGGGAGGCAGAAGUGGGGAAUAUUGCACAAUGGGCGGAAGCCUGAUGCAGCAACGCCGCGUGCGGGAUGACGGCCUUCGGGUUGUAAACCGCUUUCGCCUGUGACGAAGCGUGAGUGACGGUAAUGGGUAAAGAAGCACCGGCUAACUACGUG
rnacentral:rRNA from 1 species